UGGGGAAUUUUGGACAAUGGGCGAAAGCCUGAUCCAGCAAUGCCGCGUGUGUGAAGAAGGCCUUCGGGUUGUAAAGCACUUUUGUCCGGAAAGAAAUCCUUGGCUCUAAUACAGUCGGGGGAUGACGGUACCGGAAGAAUAAGCACCGGCUAACUACGUGCCAGCAGCCGCGGUAAUACGUAGGGUGCAAGCGUUAAUCGGAAUUACUGGGCGUAAAGCGUGCGCAGGCGGUUUGCUAAGACCGAUGUGAAAUCCCCGGGCUCAACCUGGGAACUGCAUUGGUGACUGGCAGGCUAGAGUAUGGCAGAGGGGGGUAGAAUUCCACGUGUAGCAGUGAAAUGCGUAGAGAUGUGGAGGAAUACCGAUGGCGAAGGAGCCCCCUGGGCCAAUACUGACGCUCAUGCACGAAAGCGUGGGGAGCAAACAGGAUUAGAUACCCUGGUAGUCCACGCCCUAAAACGAUGUCAACUAGUUGUUGGGGAUUCAUUUCCUUAGUAACGUAGCUAACGCGUGAAGUUGACCGCCUGGGGAGUACGGUCGCAAGAUUAAAAACUUCAAAUGAAUUGACGGGGUCAUAGCUGUUUCC
rnacentral:rRNA from 1 species